AACGAACGCUGGCGGCAUGCCUAACACAUGCAAGUCGAACGAUGCCUUCGGGCAUAGUGGCGCACGGGUGCGUAACGCGUGGGAAUCUGCCCUUGGGUUCGGAAUAACUCAGAGAAAUUUGAGCUAAAUACCGGAUGAUGACGUAAGUCCAAAGAUUUAUCGCCAAGGAUGAGCCCGCGUAAGAUUAGCUAGUUGGUGGGGUAAAGGCCUACCAAGGCGACGAUCUUUAGCUGGUCUGAGAGGAUGAUCAGCCACACUGGGACUGAGACACGGCCCAGACUCCUACGGGAGGCAGCAGUGGGGAAUAUUGGACAAUGGGCGAAAGCCUGAUCCAGCAAUGCCGCGUGAGUGAUGAAGGCCUUAGGGUGUAAAGCUCUUUUACCAGGGAUGAUAAUGACAGUACCUGGAGAAUAAGCUCCGGCUAACUCCGUGCCAGCAGCCGCGGUAAU
rnacentral:rRNA from 1 species